CACAUCCCAAAAGCCACCGAAAAAAUAUAGUUUUCCAGGCAUAAUUUUCUACCAAAAAAAGGGGCAAAGACAGCAUCAAACAGAGAAAAGAAGAAAAAGGCAGUUACCGAAAGGAGUGAUUUUUCUUAAUAGUUUCCUCCAACAAAGACAAUAUCAAAAAUGAAGAAAAACUUGGACACAACAAACAGAUUAGAAAAAUAACCACAGCAACAAUUGCCACCGACUUAAAGUUGCCAACAAGAUAUAUAUAACCAGAGAGCAAGAAGAAAGGAAAAAGUAGCUCUAGAUCCGGGCGGACGUAUUCAAAGAUCCACUUAAAUUCAUGCUAUAUAUCCAUCUCUCUCUGUAUGCAUAUGUAUCGGAUGUAAACACACACACACACACACACAAGGAUUGUUGAUUUGGAAGUUAAAGGAUGAAACAUUGGGUAAACGGGAGAGGCAACCACCCUUGAGAAAUCCCAAUCUCCUUCAGCCCCAUUCGUUGCAAGGUCAGAUAGCAAGAAGCAAUUAACAACCGUCGAGGUAGGUGAAGCAUUUCAUGGUCUCUUAGUACUUUCUUUGAGGUAGCACUGCAUUCCAGACCUCCAAACAAGGCUGCUAGAGCAAUCGCCGGCAUUAGGAAGAAGCAGCCGGUUAUAUAAUAUGUGUUCUCACGUUUGUUCAAUGGGUUAGCAUUAAUUUGAUUGAGACAAGAUAUGAUACUGGCGUGUUCGCGUAGAAAUGAAUUUUUCAGUUAUAUUUUGCAAUUUGUUUUCUUUGGCAGAAGAAGAAAAUGACAUUUACAGCUCCCUAUUGGGAUUUUUGUUGACUUCUUGUAAAUUGAUCUCAUCUCCUUGAACAGGUUGUAGAAGAUAUUGGUUAAUCAUUGUGCCUAUUGGAAGAAUUAAUGGCUAGAAAUAUGGACUAGUUGAUGGGCUUCAGUGACUUGUCCCAAUAUUUAUUUAAAAUUU
rnacentral:lncRNA from 1 species